CCUACGGGCGGCAGCAGUGAGGAAUAUUGGUCAAUGGGCGAGAGCCUGAACCAGCCAAGUCGCGUGAGGGAGUACUGCCCUAUGGGUUGUAAACCUCUUUUGUCGGGGAGCAAAAGCCGGACGUGUCAGGCUGUGAGCGUACCCGAAGAAAAAGCAUAGGCUAACUCCGUGCCAGCAGCCGCGGUAAUACGGAGGAUGCGAGCGUUAUCCGGUUUUAUUGGGGUUAUGGGGUGCGCAGGCGGAUUUUUAAGUCAGCGGUCAAAUCGUGGGGCUCAACCCCAUCCAGCCGUUGAAACUGGGGAUCUAGAGUGUGCGAGAGGUAUGCGGAAUGCGUGGUGUAGCGGUGAAAUGCAUAGAUAUCACGCAGAACCGCGGUUGCGAAGGCAGCAUACCGGUGCACAACUGACGCUCAGGCACGAAAGCGUGGGUAUCGAACAGGAUUAGAUACCCUAGUAGUC
rnacentral:rRNA from 1 species